rnacentral:lncRNA from 1 species
UUCUCUAAAUUUGACCACUUUUUCUAAAUUUUCUACUAUCAUAAAUAAGUGGAGGGCAAUUAUUAUUUUUUUACAAGCAAAAUUUAUUAAUAAAUAGUACAAAGAAUACUCCAUUCAACUCAUCUAUAACAAAAAUAUUAACUCCAUUCCAUACAAGGUUGGGGUUUGGAAGCCAACACAAAGAGAAAGCUUUAAUUAUAUUCAAUUUUAGCACAGCACCAACAAGACCUCUAAACAUAAUAGCAUUCCUUCCAUAAGCACCAAGUGGUGGUCAGCUAACUGACACCAAUUACUCUGGUCGAGAUAGAACUUAAUUACUAAAUAAUUACAACUUCAAAAAUCACUGGUCUCUAUGGUGGACCACCUAUAUAGCAUUAAGCAAUAAUUCAAAUCUCUUCUUUCAAUCCUUGAUUGACUCUCUUGUAAAUUUUGUCUUUAUCAUAUAUGUCAAUGUCAACCCAUGCUUGAGUGGUUAAGAAAUAUAUAUAUAUAUAUAUAUAUUGACUUGACUUUUUAAAUUUUGAUGUUCAUAUGGUGUAGUACCUCACCUCACACGCAUACAAUGAAGUGCAGAAAGCAAAUAAUUAAACGUAGGUGAAACAUGUGGUGGUGGCAUCGCAAGCAGCAUUCAUGAUUAGCCUCUUGAUAGUACACAAGGAAGUAGCAUGCAAUGCAUGAAAGGGUAUUUCUAAACUAU